AAUGAGAUGAUUCAGUAUCUUACAUUUGGUCGAGCAUUGUAUUUUAUGUGAUAAUUUUUUAAUGGCUUCGGUCAUUAAUAUUACACUAAUUUGUAAUGAUAAUUUGGCUAUGGAGAUAUGCACUUCUUCUCUAGUAGGACGUUGCAACUCAUUGGAUGUUAAUCUAAGAACCCAUAGGCUAGCCUAUUUUAUAUAUAUUUCGGUAUAUGUGAUUUAGACCUUAGGGUGUUCCUGAUUAACUUGUUCGAUGGUAUAUCAUAAUAUUGGGCCGCCUAUAUGGCAUUCAAACUAUUUUCAAGUGUGUACGGAUUAAAUUUUGGCUAUCAGACCUAGUGCUGUUACUGAAACCGUUAUACUGUUGGAAUUUAGUAUAUUGAAUAGACCUUUUAUAUUGGUAGCAACGC
rnacentral:rRNA from 5 species